AUUGAACGCUGGCGGCAUGCCUUACACAUGCAAGUCGAACGGUAACAGGUCUUCGGAUGCUGACGAGUGGCGCACGGGUGAGUAAUACAUCGGAACGUGCCCGAUCGUGGGGGAUAACGGAGCGAAAGCUUUGCUAAUACCGCAUACGAUCUACGGAUGCAAGCAGGGGACCGCAAGGCCUUGCGCGGACGGAGCGGCCGAUGGCAGAUUAGGUAGUUGGUGGGAUAAAAGCUUACCAAGCCGACGAUCUGUAGCUGGUCUGAGAGGACGACCAGCCACACUGGGACUGAGACACGGCCCAGACUCCUACGGGAGGCAGCAGUGGGGAAUUUUGGACAAUGGGCGAAAGCCUGAUCCAGCCAUGCCGCGUGCAGGAUGAAGGCCUUCGGGUUGUAAACUGCUUUUGUACGGAACGAAAAGACUCUUUCUAAUAAAGAGGGUCCAUGACGGUACCGUAAGAAUAAGCACCGGCUAACUACGUG
rnacentral:rRNA from 1 species